rnacentral:lncRNA from 1 species
GGCCUCUUGAGCUUAUGUGUGGAGCUCAUGUGCGGUGGCCUGGUAUUCAAUCUGCGAGGUGGGAUCCUGUUGGCAAGACCCCCUCUAUUUUGCCGAGAGCUUUCUUUUAAUAAAUUCUGCUCUCCUCACCUCUCAAUGUGCCUGCAUGCCUAAAUUUCCUGGUAGUGACACAAGAACCUGGAUUUUAGCUGAGCUGAGGAGCAGAAAUUCCUGCAUCAGUAAGUUUACUGGUUGGACCCCAAGGAGCCCCAGAAGAUGGAACUGACACAAGAUGAAAGAAGACAGCUGCCCCAAACAACAAGUAGAAGGCUGCCUACCAACUGACAUGCUUCUAGUUGCUGAUUAGCU